AAUCCAUGCGUUGGAGAUUGAUCUAGCUAGUACUUGAAACGCUCCCAUGCCGAAUAUAAUUGUUCCCCUGGAAACUAUUUGAACUAAAAGAUCUUAUCUCGAAGUUU